rnacentral:rRNA from 1 species
AUUGAACGCUGGCGGCAGGCCUAACACAUGCAAGUCGAGCGGCAGCGGAAAGUAGCUUGCUACUUUGCCGGCGAGCGGCGGACGGGUGAGUAAUGUCUGGGAAACUGCCUGAUGGAGGGGGAUAACUACUGGAAACGGUAGCUAAUACCGCAUAACGUCGCAAGACCAAAGAGGGGGACCUUCUGGCCUCUUGCCAUCAGAUGUGCCCAGAUGGGAUUAGCUAGUAGGUGGGGUAAUGGCUCACCUAGGCGACGAUCCCUAGCUGGUCUGAGAGGAUGACCAGCCACACUGGAACUGAGACGCGGUCCAGACUCCUACGGGAGGCAGCAGUGGGGAAUAUUGCACAAUGGGCGCAAGCCUGAUGCAGCCAUGCCGCGUGUAUGAAGAAGGCCUUCGGGUUGUAAAGUACUUUCAGCGGGGAGGAAGGUGUUGAGGUUAAUAACCUCAGCAAUUGACGUUACCCGCAGAAGAAGCACCGGCUAACUCCGUGCCAGCCGCCGCGGUAA